UGGGUAACCUGCCUGUAAGACUGGGAUAACUCCGGGAAACCGGAGCUAAUACCGGAUAGUUCCUUGAACCGCAUGGUUCAAGGAUGAAAGACGGUUUCGGCUGUCACUUACAGAUGGACCCGCGGCGCAUUAGCUAGUUGGUGAGGUAACGGCUCACCAAGGCGACGAUGCGUAGCCGACCUGAGAGGGUGAUCGGCCACACUGGGACUGAGACACGGCCCAGACUCCUACGGGAGGCAGCAGUAGGGAAUCUUCCGCAAUGGACGAAAGUCUGACGGAGCAACGCCGCGUGAGUGAUGAAGGUUUUCGGAUCGUAAAGCUCUGUUGUUAGGGAAGAACAAGUGCAAGAGUAACUGCUUGCACCUUGACGGUACCUAACCAGAAAGCCACGGCUAACUACGUGCCAGCAGCCGCGGUAAUACGUAGGUGGCAAGCGUUGUCCGGAAAUUAUUGGGCGUAAAGGGCUCGCAGGCGGUUUCUUAAGUCUGAUGUGAAAGCCCCCGGCUCAACCGGGGAGGGUCAUUGGAAACUGGGAAACUUGAGUGCAGAAGAGGAGAGUGGAAUUCCACGUGUAGCGGUGAAAUGCGUAGAGAUGUGGAGGAACACCAGUGGCGAAGGCGACUCUCUGGUCUGUAACUGACGCUGAGGAGCGAAAGCGUGGGGAGCGAACAGGAUUAGAUACCCUGGUAGUCCACGCCGUAAACGAUGAGUGCUAAGUGUUAGGGGGUUUCCGCCCCUUAGUGCUGCAGCUAACGCAUUAAGCACUCCGCCUGGGGAGUACG
rnacentral:rRNA from 1 species